CUAGGGAGAACAGCUUAUACACUGAACUGAUAGAGUUAUUUUACUGUUUCUAGUUAUUUGAUCAACUUGUGACAUACUUCCCGGACAAUAUGACUCAACCAAAAGAAAAUCUUGCUGACAUCAUAAAAAUUUGACAUCUUCCAGCCGUGUAAAGUUUGUAAAUGUAUUCACGUGAUGUGUGUGUUCUCACCAUAAUGACUGGCUGGUUACACUAUCAAAGUUUCUGUGAUCACACUAGGAAUUUUGCAUUCGGUAAAUUCUAAAUGUUAAAUACCGAGGUUCCCUCAAACAUUUCUUACAAAUCCUUCAAAACUUAGAAUUUACCAAUGCAAAAUUCCUACUGUGAUCACAGAAACUUUGAUAGUGUAAACCAUCCUUUAUAACACUCAGUAAGUUUCCUCAAACAUUUCUUACAANNNNNNNNNNNNNNNNNNNNUAGAAUUUACCAAUGCAAAAUUCCUACUGUGAUCACAGAAACUUUGAUAGUGUAAACCAUCCUUUAUAACACUCAGUAAGUUUCCUCAAACAUUUCUUACAAAUCCUUCAAAACUUAGCAUUUACCCAUGCAAAAUUCCUACUGUGAUCACAGAAACUUUGAUAGUGUCAACCAGUCUUAAGAUUUUUUUGUAAAUUACAAUGUGU
rnacentral:lncRNA from 1 species